GAGAUGGGGGCUGCUUAUAUAGUUCUCUAUUUUGGCUGUUUGUGCUGAAACUUGGGGACAAAGACUCUCAUUUUUGGCUGCCAGCUUGCUCCCUUUCGAACAUGAUGUUUAUGCUUGCUAUGCUAUUUUGGUGUAUAUGGGUUGUCAUCCUUGGAGCUUGUGGAGGCCGAAAAUCGAGAAGGAUGGGAAUGAGGGAAACACUUAGAUUUAGUUGCUCUAUUUGGCUAGUAUCCGAAUAUUGUAGUUUGGCAUCUUUGAAAUGCUAAGUUGUAGCUUCCACUUUUGUAUUUUCCACAUGUAACUAUUAUGUAGCGAAAUCUCACACCUCUCAAUAAGAUUGUGUAGUCCUUUUCCAUAGUGUAGCCCUUUACCAUUAAUCUCUUCAACAUAUGUAAAUCCUCUUCAUAAAGUAUUGUGCUAAUUUAUUCUC